rnacentral:rRNA from 1 species
ACUGUGUGUUAUAUGUGUCACACGGGACUGCCGGUUUUAAGCCGGAGGAAGGUGGGAUGACGUCAAGUCAGCAUGGCCUUUAUAUCCUGGGCUACACACACGCUACAAUGGUCGGUACAAUAGGUUGCCAAGCCGCGAGGCGGAGCCAAUCCAUAAAGCCGGCCUCAGUUCAGAUUGUAGGCUGCAACUCGCCUGCAUGAAGAUGGAGUUGCUAGUAACCGCAGGUCAGCAAUACUGCGGUGAAUACGUUCCCGGGUCUU